rnacentral:rRNA from 1 species
AUUGAACGCUGGCGGCAUGCCUUACACAUGCAAGUCGAACGGCAGCACGGGAGCAAUCCUGGUGGCGAGUGGCGAACGGGUGAGUAAUACAUCGGAACGUGCCCAAUCGUGGGGGAUAACGUAGCGAAAGUUACGCUAAUACCGCAUACGAUCUACGGAUGAAAGCGGGGGACCGCAAGGCCUCGCGCGAUUGGAGCGGCCGGUGGCAGAUUAGGUAGUUGGUGGGGGAAAGGCCUACCAAGCCUCCGAUCUGUAGCUGGUCUGAGAGGACGAUCAGCCACACUGGGACUGAGACACGGCCCAGACUCCUACGGGAGGCAGCAGUGGGGAAUUUUGCACAAUGGGCGACAGCCUGAUCCAGCAAUGCCGCGUGCAGGACAAAGGCCUUCGGGUUGUAAACUGCUUUUGUACGGAGCGAAACGGCUUUCACUAAUACUGGGGGCUAAUGACGGUACCGUAAGAAUAAGCACCGGCUAACUACGUGCCAGCCGCCGCAGUAA